UACAGAGGGGGCCAGCGUUAUUCGGAAAUUAUUGGGCGUAAAGGGCGCGUAGGCGGCCAUGCGUGUCUUCCGUGAAAUCCCUCGGCUUAACUGAGGACGUGCGGAAGAAACUGCAAGGGCUCGAGUCCGGGAGAGGGGGGUGGAAUUCCCAGUGUAGCGGUGAAAUGCGUAGAUAUUGGGAGGAACACCGGUGGCGAAGGCGGCCCCCUGGACCGGUACUGACGCUGAGGCGGCGAAAAGCGGUGGGUAGCAAACGGG
rnacentral:rRNA from 1 species